rnacentral:rRNA from 1 species
CACGCUGUAAACGAUGAGUGCUAGGUGUUGGGGAGGAAUCCUCGGUGCCGCAGCAAACGCAAUAAGCACUCCACCUGGGGAGUACGACCGCAAGGUUGAAACUCAAAGGAAUUGACGGGGGCCCGCACAAGCGGUGGAGCAUGUGGUUUAAUUCGAAGCAACGCGAAGAACCUUACCAAGGCUUGACAUCCCGCUGAAAUACAUAGAGAUAUGUAUGUUCUUCGGAACAGCGGAGACAGGUGG